CAAAGGCUUGGUCCUGACUUUACUGUCAACUUUGGCUAUACUUACACAUGCAAGUCUCCGCACCCCCGUGAGAACGCCCACAGUUCUCUGCCCGAGAACAAGGAGCUGGUAUCAGGCACAAUAACCCACAGCCCAUAACACCUUGCUCAGCCACACCCUCAAGGGAAUUCAGCAGUGAUAGACAUUAAGCCCUGAGCGAAAGCUUGACUUAGUCAAAGCCAAUAAGGGCCGGUAAAACUCGUGCCAGCCACCGCGGUUAUACGAGAGGCCCAAGUUGACAGGUGCCGGCGUAAAGAGUGGUUAAGGGAAACCAUCCAACUAAAGCCGAACACCUUCAUAGCUGUUAUACGCUUCCGAAGGCAUGAAGCCCCACCACGAAAGUGGCUUUACUUCCCCCGACUCCACGAAAGCUGCGGAACAAACUGGGAUUAGAGACCCCACUAUGCCCAGCCCUAAACUUUGAUGGCACAUUACACCCGCCAUCCGCCAGGGAACUACGAGCAUUAGCUUAAAACCCAAAGGACUUGGCGGUGCUUUAGACCCACCUAGAGGAGCCUGUUCUAGAACCGAUAAUCCCCGUUAAACCUCACCCUCUCUUGUCAUUCCCGCCUAUAUACCGCCGUCGUCAGCUUACCCUGUGAAGGCAUUAAUAGUAAGCAAAACUAGUAAAACCCAAAACGCCAGGUCGAGGUGUAGCAUAUGAGAGGGAAAGAAAUGGGCUACAUUCCCUACUUUAGGGAACACGGACAAUGUAAUGAAAGGUACAUUAGAAGGAGGAUUUAGCAGUAAGCAAAAAAUAGAGCGUUUUGCUGAAACUGGCCCUGAAGCGCGCACACACCGCCCGUCACUCUCCCCAAACCAACUUUAAAAAAAUACAUAAUACAUUUUAGGAAUUAAGGGGAGGCAAGUCGUAACAUGGUAAGUGUACCGGAAGAUGCACUUGGAAAAAC
rnacentral:ncRNA from 1 species